UGCAAGUCGAGCGGUAACAGAUCUAGCUUGCUAGAUGCUGACGAGCGGCGGACGGGUGAGUAAUGCAUAGGAAUCUGCCCGGUAGUGGGGGAUAACCUGGGGAAACCCAGGCUAAUACCGCAUACGUCCUACGGGAGAAAGGGGGCUUCGGCUCCCGCUAUUGGAUGAGCCUAUGUCGGAUUAGCUAGUUGGUGAGGUAAUGGCUCACCAAGGCAACGAUCCGUAGCUGGUCUGAGAGGAUGAUCAGCCACAUCGGGACUGAGACACGGCCCGAACUCCUACGGGAGGCAGCAGUGGGGAAUAUUGGACAAUGGGCGCAAGCCUGAUCCAGCCAUGCCGCGUGUGUGAAGAAGGCCUUCGGGUUGUAAAGCACUUUCAGCGAGGAAGAACGCCUAGGGGUUAAUACCCACUAGGAAAGACAUCACUCGCAGAAGAAGCACCGGCUAACUCCGUGCCAGCAGCCGCGGUAAUACGGAGGGUGCGAGCGUUAAUCGGAAUUACUGGGCGUAAAGCGCGCGUAGGUGGCUUGAUAAGCCGGUUGUGAAAGCCCCGGGCUCAACCUGGGAACGGCAUCCGGAACUGUCAAGCUAGAGUGCAGGAGAGGAAGGUAGAAUUCCCGGUGUAGCGGUGAAAUGCGUAGAGAUCGGGAGGAAUACCAGUGGCGAAGGCGGCCUUCUGGACUGACACUGACACUGAGGUGCGAAAGCGUGGGUAGCAAACAGGAUUAGAUACCCUGGU
rnacentral:rRNA from 1 species